rnacentral:rRNA from 1 species
GAUGAACGCUGGCGGCGUGCUUAACACAUGCAAGUCGAACGAGGUCCAACCUUCGGGUGAAGACCGAGUGGCGAACGGGUGAGUAACACGUGGGGAACCUACCCUUCUCUCUGGGAUAACGUCGAGAAAUCGGCGCUAAUACCGGAUACUCCUUGCGGAUCGCAUGGUCUGCUUGGGAAAGCUCCGGCGGAGAGGGACGGCCCCGCGGCCCAUUAGCUAGUUGGUGAGGUAACGGCCCACCAAGGCGACGAUGGGUAGCCGAGCUGAGAGGCUGAUCGGCCACACUGGGACUGAGACACGGCCCAGACUCCUACGGGAGGCAGCAGUGGGGAAUCUUGCGCAAUGGGCGAAAGCCUGACGCAGCAACGCCGCGUGCGGGAUGAAGGCCCUCGGGUCGUAAACCGCUUUCAGCAGGGAUGAAACUGACAGUACCUGCAGAAGGAGCCCCGGCUAAAUACGUGCCGGCAGCCGCGGUAAUACGUAUGGGGCAAGCGUUAUCCGGAUUUAUUGGGCGUAAAGCGCGCGUAGGCGGCUUGUUAAGUCAGAUGUGAAAUCCGGGGGCUCAACCCGCGGCUUGCAUCUGAAACUGGCAGGCUUGAGUCUGGUAGAGGAAAGUGGAAUUCCUGGUGUAGCGGUGAAAUGCGCAGAUAUCAGGAGGAACACCAGUGGCGAAGGCGGCCUUCUGGGCCACGACUGACGCUGAGGCGCGAAAGCUAGGGGAGCGAACAGGAUUAGAUACCCUGGUAGUCCUAGCCGUAAACGAUGGGCACUAGGUGUGGGGGGGUCAUCGACUCCCUCCGUGCCGAAGCUAACGCAUUAAGUGCCCCGCCUGGGGAGUACGGCCGCAAGGCUAAAACUCAA